rnacentral:rRNA from 1 species
CAGGUCAGCAUACUGCCGUGAAUACGUUCCCGGGCCUUGUACACACCGCCCGUCACACCAUGAGAGUUGGGAAUACCCGAAGCCUGUGAGCCAACAAUCGAGGCAGCAGUCGAAGGUAGAAUCAAUGAUUGGGGUGAAGUCGUAACAAGGUAAC